AACAAACGCUGGCGGCGUGCCUAAUACAUGCAAGUCGAACGAGGAAAGCUUUCGGGUGAGUACUAGUGGCGCACGGGUGAGGAAUAUAUGGGUAAUCUGCCCUCGAGUUGGGGAUAACCAGUCGAAAGACUGGCUAAUACCGAAUAAGGCCACAGGAUCUGCGGAUCUAGGGGUUAAAGGUUUUUCGCUUGAGGAUGAGCCCAUACGGGAUUAGCUAGUUGGCGAGGUAAUGGCUCACCAAGGCUACGAUCCCUAACUGGUCUUAGAGGAUGAUCAGUCACACUGGAACCGAGACACGGUCCAGACUCCUACGGGAGGCAGCAGUAGGGAAUAUUGCACAAUGGGGGAAACCCUGAUGCAGCGACGCCGCGUGAGUGAUGAAGGCCUUCGGGUCGUAAAGCUCUGUCGUAUGGGACUAACACAAUGAAGGUACCAUGCAAGAAAGGAUCGGCUAACUUCGUGCCAGCCGCCGCAGUAA
rnacentral:rRNA from 1 species